CCCGCCGCGCUGCUAGCGAAGUACUCUGACCCGCUGGUCUACACGGGGCCGAUCAGGGUCCGUACAGGCCACGAGAUCCUGCGCAUCUCCUCCUACCUGCUGCACAACCUGAAGAAGGUGACGGUCCCGUUCGUGGUCCUGCACGGCACCGCGGACCGUGUGACGGACCCCCUAGCCUCGCAGGAGCUCUACACGGAGGCCGCGUCGAGGCACAAGGACCUGCGUCUGUACGAGGGGUUCCUGCACGACCUGCUCUUCGAGCCCGAGCGCGACGAGAUCGCCGCCGACAUCAUCGGGUGGAUGGACCGGACGCUCGGUCUGCAAGCCGUAUGAAGGGCAGCUGUUGUCUGAAGAUGGGGGAGGAGCUCAACAUCAUGUGCGGAUCGCUCCGGUCAGAGCCAUGGGAUUGCAGCCAUGGGCUUCAUGGCAUGGCAAGACAUGCAUGAUGGCUUUGGUCUGGUUCUGAUUGUAUUGUUUGCGGUGAUCCUCGUCUUACGAUGCUGCCGGUACAGACCAGUGGACUGAAAAGCCAGUGGUUUGUGGUUUGUAUUAAUGCUACACUAUCUAUAAUA
rnacentral:lncRNA from 1 species